rnacentral:rRNA from 12 species
CCCAAAAUGACUCUCGGCAACGGAUAUCUCGGCUCUUGCAUCGAUGAAGAACGUAGCAAAAUGCGAUACUUGGUGUGAAUUGCAGAAUCCCGUGAACCAUCGAGUCUUUGAACGCAAGUUGCGCCCGAAGCCAUUAGGUUGAGGGCACGCCUGCCUGGGUGUCACA